AACGAACGCUGGCGGCAGGCCUAACACAUGCAAGUCGAGCGCCCCAGCAAUGGGGAGCGGCAGACGGGUGAGUAACGCGUGGGUAUCUACCUAGUGGUGCGGAAUAGCCCAGGGAAACUUGGAGUAAUACCGCAUAAGCCCGAAAGGGGAAAGAUUUAUCGCCAUUAGAUGAGCCCGCGUUGGAUUAGCUAGUUGGUGGGGUAACGGCCCACCAAGGCGACGAUCCAUAGCUGGUCUGAGAGGAUGAUCAGCCACACUGGGACUGAGACACGGCCCAGACUCCUACGGGAGGCAGCAGUGGGGAAUUUUGGACAAUGGGCGCAAGCCUGAUCCAGCCAUGCCGCGUGUGGGAAGAAGGCCUUCGGGUU
rnacentral:rRNA from 1 species